rnacentral:lncRNA from 1 species
AUUUCCAUUGGCCAGCUUUACCCGCCCUGCGCCGACGUCACUAGGGACACGCCCGUAGUUAUCACUCGCCGGCCGCUUACUGGGGCUGGAGAGUUGGGCGGGGUGCUUGAGUCUUCGCACACUUGACCCACUGAGGUCGGGAGAGCACAACUAUGGAGGUUUUUGUUCUUUGGGAAGAAAAGCCCUUGAACUUGGUCCUCAUUUUAUCGGGUCCAGGACUCCCUAGCAGAAAGCGUGGCCUGAGCUGGAGGAGCAACUUAGUGCCUGAGGUUGCUGCUGGGGAUUGUGGCCCCUGCUGCAUUUGAGGUCUCAGCAAGCUGCUGCAGGAACCAGAGUAAAUCUGCAGGCUCAAUUUUGAAUUUACAAAGUUUAUUCUGGUCACCGGGUUUUUGUUUUUGUUUUUGAUUUUGUUUUCUUGGUGUCUUGGUUCCCACUGGUACGUAGGUCACACAAAAGCUCUACGUGUGCUAAGCGUGUGUGUGUGUGUUAAGCCCACAUAUACACACAAAUGAUUGCUUUCCUAGUUCGUGUUCACAUAGGGCACAUAAGAAAAAAUCUCAACUGAUUCUUUGAUUUAGGGAAGCUGAGUACGUGCUUAGACUCAUUUGCCAGAGCUUUCACGCCUCAGACCCCCUGAGAAUUUAAUGUGCUGUGAUGCAAGACGCUAAAGAAGCCCUGCGGUUAUGAAGAGUCUGACCACAUUCAAAACAGUUUAUUAAUCUGUUUUGCGGCCUAGAGCUCUAAGGUGAUUCAGAUGGUAGGUAAUAGAGCUAGAGUUACCUUUUGAGUUCAACUCUGACUCCAGCAAAUUUGAGGACGGUGAACAAAUGACCCACCAAGAUUUCUUAGAUUUGAUCAAAGGAAAGUUAAAGAUGGAGAAACAUGGCUCAGCGGUUACAAACAGAAGCUGCUCUUGCGCAGGACUGGAGAUCUCUUCCCAGCAAGUGAAUCAGAAAGCUCACAACCAAGUAGAACUCCCGAAAGCUACCUGCAUUUUGGCAGGUUUGAGAGAGAGAGAGAGAAAGAGACUUGUGUUCUAGCUGGAUUCCAUGUAGUUUUGCAGCUGAGGACAACCUUGAUCUAUCUCCCCCUGCCCCUGCCUCUACAAGUGGGAUUGCAGUGUGUACCCCCCUUCCUGGCCCAGAACCUAAAAGCCUGGUAACCUGGACUCAAUCCUGAACUCACGUUAAAGGAAGGAAGAGAGAAGAAACUCCACAAAGUUCCCAACCAACACACCCACACACACACCACAUACAUUUUCUGUUUUAUUAGCUAGUCUCUGAAGGUUUUCCCCAACUCUCUCUGUCCUUUUUGGGGGUGUGGGCAUGAAUCGGGUGCUUUUGCUUAC